rnacentral:rRNA from 1 species
CCUGGACGAGACUGACGCUCAGGUGCGAAAGCGUGGGGAGCAAACAGGAUUAGAUACCUGGUAGUCCACGCUGUAAACGAUGUCGAUUUGGAGGUUGUGCCCUUGAGGCGUGGCUUCCGGAGCUAACGCGUUAAAUCGACCGCUGGGGAGUACGGCCGCAAGGUUAAAACUCAAAUGAAUUGACGGGGGCCCGCACAAGCGGUGGAGCAUGUGGUUUAAUUCGAUGCAACGCGAAGAACCUUACCUACUCUUGACAUCCAGAGAACUUAGCAGAGAUGCUUUGGUGCCUUCGGGAACUCUGAGACAGGUGCUGCAUGGCUGUCGUCAGCUCGUGUUGUGAAAUGUUGGGUUAAGUCCCGCAACGAGCGCAACCCUUAUCCUUUGUUGCCAGCGGUUCGGCCGGGAACUCAAAGGAGACUGCCAGUGAUAAACUGGAGGAAGGUGGGGAUGACGUCAAGUCAUCAUGGCCCUUACGAGUAGGGCUACACACGUGCUACAAUGGCGUAUACAAAGAGAAGCGACCUCGCGAGAGCAAGCGGACCUCAUAAAGUACGUCGUAGUCCGGAUUGGAGUCUGCAACUCGACUCCAUGAAGUCGGAAUCGCUAGUAAUCGUAGAUCAGAAUGCUACGGUGAAUACGUUCCCGGGCCUUGUACACACCGCCCGUCACACCAUGGGAGUGGGUUGCAAAAGAAGUAGGUAGCUUAACCUUCGGGAGGGCGCUUACCACUUUGUGAUUCAUGACUGGGGUGAAGUCGUAACAAGGUAACCA